AACCAUAGAAACCUGCGGAGUACCUGCGGAGGGAUCACUAUCGAGUUCUGACCGAAAGGUCGACUCCCACCCUUUGUGUACUCUGACCAGUUGCUUCGGCGGGCCGAUCGCUUAGCGACCAUCGGCUUUCCAGCGGGUGUGUGUCCGCCGAAGGACCUUUAGAAACUCUUUGUUUAAGGUUGUCUGAGAUUAUAUGAAAAAAGUUAAAACUUUUAACAAUGGAUCUCAGAUCGGAAGAGC
rnacentral:misc_RNA from 1 species